UACGUAGGGGGCAAGCGUUGUCCGGAAUCAUUGGGCGUAAAGAGCGCGUAGGCGGUCCGGUAAGUCCGCUGUGAAAGUCAAGGGCUCAACCCUUGAAUGCCGGUGGAUACUGUCGGGCUAGAGUCCGGAAGAGGCGAGUGGAAUUCCUGGUGUAGCGGUGAAAUGCGCAGAUAUCAGGAGGAACACCAAUGGCGAAGGCGGCUCUCUGGGACGGUACUGACGCUGAGACGCGAAAGCGUGGGGAGCGAACAGG
rnacentral:rRNA from 1 species